AUUGAACGCUAGCGGCAUGCCUAACACAUGCAAGUCGAACGAGUGGCGGACGGGUGAGUAAUAUCUGGGAACCUGCCCGAUGGAGGGGGAUAACUACUGGAAACGGUAGCUAAUACCGCAUACUAUCGUAUCUGCCCAUAUGGGAUUAGCUAGUCGGUGGGGUAAAGGCUCACAUAGGCGACGAUCCCUAGCUGGUCUGAGAGGAUGACCAGCCACACUGGAACUGAGACACGGUCCAGACUCCUACGGGAGGCAGCAGUGGGGAAUAUUGGACAAUGGGCGAAAGCCUGAUGCAGCAAUGCCGCGUGUAUGAAGAAGGCCUUCGGGUUGUAAAGUACUGUCAGCGGGGAGGCGGUACCUGCAGAAUAAGCACCGGCUAACUCCGUGCCAGCAGCCGCGGUAAUAC
rnacentral:rRNA from 1 species